rnacentral:rRNA from 1 species
UAUGUGAUCGUCUCUCGCAUAUCAAUAAGCGGAGGAAAAGAAACUAACAAGGAUUCCCCUAGUAACUGGCGAGUGAAGCGGGAAGAGCUCAAAUUUGAAAUCUUAAAGGGUUUCCCUUUACGAAUUGUAGUUUAAAGAAGUGUUUUCUGUGAGGUUUUGGUAAAAGUUCUUUGGAAUAGGACAUCAUAGAGGGUGAGAAUCCCGUAUUUGACCUUUACUUUCAACUUUGUGAUACACUUUCAAAGAGUCGGAUUGUUUGGGAAUGCAGUCCAAAAUGGGUGGUAAAUUUCAUCUAAAGCUAAAUAUUGGCGAGAGACCGAUAGCGAACAAGUACCGUGAGGGAAAGAUGAAAAGAACUUUGAAAAGAGAGUUAAACAGUACGUGAAAUUGUCAAAAGGGAAGCGUUUGACACCAGUGUUGUUUUUCUGAAAAUCAAUUAAAGAACUGUUUAUGCUAAGUUGUUUAGACUUUAUCAGCUAACUGUUUAGUUUUGAGCUUUUCUUUAAUGCACUUUUCAGUUAACAAGUCAACAUCAAUUUCUUUUGCUGUAAAAAAGCUUGAGGAAGGUGGCUUGAGAUUCGUCUUAAGUGUUUAUAGCCUCUUGCCUAUGCAGUCGGAGAGAUUGAGGUCUGCAGCGUAGAUCCUUCGGGGCUAAAUGCAUUUGUGCUAAGUUAUAGCAUUUUAUAGACAACUUGUUGACUAUGAUUUGUCUUGUAGCUUACUCGCUUAUGUUAUUUUACCUACGCUUAGGAUGUUGAUCUACAGAGCGAGAGU